rnacentral:rRNA from 1 species
GUCUACGGCCAUGCUACUCUGAACAAGCUUGAUCCCAUCUGAUCUCGGAAGCUAAGCAGGGUCGGGCCUGGUUAGUAUUUGGAUGGGAGACCACCUAGAAAGACCAGGUGCUAUAGGUA